CACGUUGGAGCUUUGGUGGUUGUCGGGUCGGGUCUUGAAAAGAGGAAACAAGUCGCUCUGUACUCCACGUUGCUAAAGAACAGGUCUUCUUCGCUUCCUCAACUCCUUAAAAAUAGGAGUCGUUGAAGUAUCAAGUCACCCACUACCUCCUAUAUUUUUGUUUGACAUGGUUUUGAUUUUGCGAAGAAACAAAUUAAAACCUAAGUAUAUCAAACCUAUAGAAGAAGGUUACAGUUCAAGUUUUUGUGGACACUAGCAGAGCACCACUUGAACGUUCACACAUAUUUUGAAAGUAAAACAUCUCCAACAACCUCUCUAUGUCUUAAACUCGAGAGUAUCGUAGAAACUAUGUU